rnacentral:rRNA from 1 species
ACGGGAGGCAGCAGUGGGGAAUAUUGGGCAAUGGGCGCAAGCCUGACCCAGCAACGCCGCGUGAGGGAUGAAGGUCUUCGGAUUGUAAACUUCUUUGAUCAGGGACGAAAUUUUGACGGUACCUGAAGAACAAGUCACGGCUAACUACGUGCCAGCAGCCGCGGUAAUACGUAGGUGACAAGCGUUAUCCGGAUUUACUGGGUGUAAAGGGCGUGUAGGCGGUUUGGCAAGUCAGAAGUGAAAUUCCCGGGCUUAACUUGGGCGCUGCUUCUGAAACUGCUUAACUUGAGUACUGGAGAGGAUAGUGGAAUUCCUAGUGUAGCGGUGAAAUGCGUAGAUAUUAGGAGGAACACCAGUGGCGAAGGCGGUCUACUGGACGAUAACUGACGCUGAGGCGCGAAAGCGUGGGGAGCAAACAGGAUUAGAUACCCUGGUA